CAGUCAACAUAGUACCAGCAAAAUUAGCAGCAUACAUGGGAGGAGGAGCCUGAGCACUGGAAUCCCCUAACUGGGUCUGUUGCAUCAAGCUCAUCAAUUGAUCAUAUUGAUGUCUGCUCAACCCUGGCAUCACAGAACUUUGGCCAUCUAUGUUUGUGACAGGGUGAUGGCUGCCAGGAGGAUCCCAAAAGGAACAGACAUAUUAAGAUUCCCAUGAUUAACAAACACACUUUCCUCACCAGUGGAGACAUGAGCAGCAGC
rnacentral:lncRNA from 1 species